UACGGAGGGUGCAAGCGUUAUCCGGAUUCACUGGGUUUAAAGGGUGCGUAGGUGGGUUGGUAAGUCAGUGGUGAAAUCUCCGAGCUUAACUUGGAAACUGCCGUUGAUACUAUCAAUCUUGAAUAUCGCGUAGGUAAGCGGAAUAUGUCAUGUAGCGGUGAAAUGCUUAGAUAUGACAUAGAACACCAAUUGCGAAGGCAGCUUACUUCACGAUCAUUGACACUGAGGCACGAAAGCGUGGGGAGCAAACAGG
rnacentral:rRNA from 1 species